GGAAGAUGCACAUGAAGACCCUGGUAAUCCAGUAAAUGAAGUUGAAGAAGAGACUACUGAUGAAAUUAUAGCAGAAUAUAAUGCAGCGGAGAGACAAAUUCACCAAUUGCUUCGAACAAUGAGAUGAGCAAUUGAUAAACUAGCAAAUCGGCAGAAUACAAAUAAAACCCCAUCAUCUUCUCAUCAAAGCAGAAGUCAUAAUCAACCUGAUAUCAAUGAUUCUUUCCCAUCACCACCACAUGCUUAUGGAUCGCCACUGAAUGAUCGUUUUGCUCAUGGUGAAG